CCGCCGCUCCACAUGCAAUUGGCAAUUUAAGCUCGCAUGAAUUAUCGACAAUCAAUUAUGGUUUCUGGCUAUGGCGAUUGCUUGGACAUGAACAUGGUUUUGGAUGUGCACACAUACAUACAAAUGUAUAUAGCGCACAGACAUUGAUGAGAACUAAUCCAAUUGUGAUAUUGUCAUUGGAACCGCUUUCAUCAAAGGCGGUGCGGACUGCCCAUGAAAUAUUUAAGGAUAUCAACA